GCUGGGUGCAGUGGCAAACACCUGUAAUCCCAGCACCUCGGGGGGCUGAGGAAGGAGGAUCACAAGUUCAGAACUAGCUUCAGCAAUGGUGAGGCACUAAGCAACUCAGUGAGACCCUGUCUCUA
rnacentral:sRNA from 1 species